GCGGGCCCGCCCAGGUGCGCCCGGGGGUUGGGCCGGAGUCCGGAAGGUGCGCCGCGCCGCCCCGAACCUGUCCCCUAGGCCUCCCCCCGCGUGAAAGUGAAAGUGUCGGACCCGCAGAGGUCAAGGAUAGGGGGGCGGGGCCAGCGCGGAGCUGGGAGCGGGAGCCGGGCACUCGAGGGGCCAUGGAUGGGCUCGGCCGCCGCCUUCGAGCCAGCCUGAGACUGAAGCGCGGCCAUGGGGGUUAGUGCCGGCCGGGGAGAGCGCGGGGUGCGGCGUGGGCACCGGGGAGCCGGGGUUAGGGCUGGUGGCUGGGGCCCGGGAGAGGGCGGCACGGGGCGUCGAGAUCCGGGAGCAGUUGGAGGGGGCUCAGGAGGCUGCGCGUGGGCAGGACACUGGAGAUUAAAUGAGAUGCCUUAUAUGAAACAUGAGUUUGAUGGAGGACCGCCCCAGGACAAUUCAGGGGAAGCUUUAAAGGAACCAGAAAGGGUCCAGGAGCACUCUUUGCCCAACUUUGCUGGGGGACAGCACUUCUUUGAAUACCUUCUUGUGGUUUCUCUCAAAAAGAAGCGUUCAGAGGAUGAUUACGAGCCUAUAAUCACCUACCAAUUUCCCAAGCGGGAGAACCUGCUUCGGGGUCAGCAGGAGGAGGAGGAGCGGCUGCUCAAAGCUAUCCCCUUGUUCUGCUUCCCAGAUGGGAAUGAGUGGGCAUCACUCACUGAGUAUCCCAGGGAGACCUUCUCCUUCGUUCUGACCAAUGUGGAUGGGAGCAGAAAGAUUGGAUACUGCAGGCGCCUCUUGG
rnacentral:sRNA from 1 species